GCCAGGUGCAGUGGUGCACGCCUGUAAUCCCAGCUGUUCCGGAGGCUGAGGCAGGAGGAUCACGAGUUCAAAGCCAGCCUCAGCAAAAACAACUCAGUGAGACCCUGUCUCUA
rnacentral:sRNA from 1 species